UACAGAGGUCUCAAGCGUUGUUCGGAUUCACUGGGCGUAAAGGGUGCGUAGGUGGUCGGGUAAGUCUGAUGUGAAAUCUCCAAGCUCAACUUGGAAACUGCAUCGGAUACUAUUCGGCUGGAGGGUUGGAGGGGGGACUGGAAUGCUUGGUGUAGCAGUGAAAUGCGUAGAUAUCAAGCGGAACACCAGUGGCGAAAGCGGCUUCCUGGUCCAGCACCGACGUUCAGGCACGAAAGCGUGGGGAGCAAACAGG
rnacentral:rRNA from 1 species